GCCUGGAAACGCCAUGGGAUUCCCCCAGACGAGCUGGCUCAAGUGGCUGGGGAGAGGGAAGUCUGGGUCUCUCUGCUUAGACUGCUGCCCCCGCGACCCUACCCCGGAUAAGCGGAAGACAAUGGAUGGAUGGAUGGAUGCUUUAGAUUUCAAAAUAUUCACUUUUGUUGUAUUAGCCGUUCUUUAAAUACCACUGUUAAGAGAAAAGCAAAACUAGUCUUACGCCAUUUAAAAGUCUUGCUGAUGUGAUUUUUGUUUUUAAGACUUCUCCAUGAUCUUUUACAUCCACCUUUCAAGUUACUUGUUUUCUUUGGGACAGCUAAAGAGAUGAACAGAGUAACAAGGUCAACCACUUGAUGGGAAUGUAGCAACCUUAAAUUUAUUCCUGCCUUUUAGUCAAACUGCUUUUCUUACAAGCCCAAAAUGUCAUAGUCUGUGUGUGUGUGUGUGCGUGUGUUAGUGUGUGUGUGCGCGUGUGUUUGAUGUACUUGUCUACAUAACCAUUCAGUGUUUCACAGUUGGUGCUGCAGUUCUCAGGUGCGCUGGAUGACAGGUGUCUUCUAUCUGUUGAUUGCUUGGAGGAGUACUUAAGCGGGAGGCUGCCAGCACUUCGAUGCCAGAGUGUUUGCCUUAGUGGUAACAAACUCAGCCACUACAGAUUUUUUGCUUCGUUCUUGAACUAAAGUAACUUUGUAUUUUGCUCCCAUGCAGGUUUUUACCUGAGGCUUUGUUUACCUUGCUGAGUUACGACUUCGUUCCAGAGUAUCUCUGAGCAUCUGGAUUUUCAACUACUAAGUUAAGGAUCUACCUUCUUGUGCAUUUCUCUCACUACCAUCUGUACCUUUCGGACACGAACCAAGCUGGCGGCUUCUCGUUUCCUCUCACUCCAGGACCCAGGCAUCAGCAUACCCUGUUCCAUCCUCCAUCUUAAACAUCGGCACCUAAGCUCCAUUUGGCUGGCACCAAGAUCUCAACUAAGAGGACAACUGAACAAUCUUCCUUCGCAAGUUAAGACUCUGAAUCUCUCUAUCCCUGGUGGUUCAAGCCACAACAAUUUAUUGGUGUUUCCAGCCCACAUCCCAGAUUACUUUGCUGACAAUAAAAUCCGUAAAGCUUU